rnacentral:rRNA from 1 species
UGCGAGUAGAAGAAUUAGAUUCUUUGCGAACUGCUCAGUAACACGUGGAUAACCUGCCCUAUGCUCCGGAAUAACCUCGGGAAACUGAGAGUAAUACCGGAUAGAUCACAACGCCUGGAACGGUGUGUGGUUGAAAGAUUACGGCAUAGGAUGGGUCUGCGGCGUAUCAGGUUGUAGGGGGUGUAAAGGACCUCCUAGCCAUCGACGCGUACGGGUGUUGGGAGACAUAGCCCGGAGAUGGAUUCUGAGACACGAAUCCAGACCCUACGGGGUGCAGCAGGCGCGAAAACUUCACACUGCAGGAAACUGUGAUGAGGGAACUCCAAGUGCACGCACUUAGUGUGUGCUUUUUUCAACUAUUAAUCGGUUGAAGAAUAAGGGCUGGGAAAGACCGGUGCCAGCCGCCGCGGUAAUACCGGCAGCUCAAGUGGUCGUCGCUUUUAUUGGGCCUAAAACGUCCGUAGCCUGUUUGGUAAAUCUGUGGGUAAAUCAACCAGCUUAACUGGUUGAAUUCUGCAGAGACUGCCAGACUAGGGACCGGGAGAGGUGUGGGGUACUCUAGGGGUAGGAGUAAAAUCCUGUCAUCCUUAGAGGACCACCAGUUGCGAAGGCGCCACACUGGAACGGAUCCGACGGUCAGGGACGAAGCCUAGGGGCACGAACCGGAUUAGAUACCCGGGUAGUCCUAGGUGUAAACGCUGUGAACUUGGUGUCGGGGAUCCGUCAUGGGUCCCCGGUGCCGGAGUGAAGAUGUUAAGUUCACUGCCUGGGGAGUACGGUCGCAAGGCUGAAACUCAAA